CCUCUCUAAGCAGAGAUGUCAUCCUUAGGGACCUUAGCAAUGUUGAGAUUAAACUAACACUAUGGGGACAGCGAGCUGUGGAGUUUACAAUCGAUGGAAUUUAUAACGAAGAACAAGCUACACCUAUUGUUAUUCUUGUUGUUAGCAAUCUCAUGAAAACUUUUGCAGGCGAAGAAUACCCCAGUGGAAACACAGCGUGCCGUUGGUAUUUCAAUCCUACUAUUUCAGAGGCGGAACCAUUUUACAACACUAUUCAGAACCAACGGUUGGUAAUCAAACGCACUCCUGCUCCCACACAGCAAGCAACAUCGGCAAAGAAACCAAUUCAACUUGAAGAUAAAUAACUCCAGGAUUUAGAAACAAUAAAUCCGUACGACUUUCCGGAGAACGGAUGCCGCUGCACUGUGACAAUUGCUCGCUUGGUCCAAACGACAGCAUGGUGGUUUGCAUCAUGCAACAGAUGCAAUUGAUCUUGCAUUCCAGAUGGCACCGGAUAUAGAUGCAGCACGUGUUCUUGCACAGGCUAUCGCUUCAAAUAAUCAAUGUACCUAUAGCAUUCUGACUUCGAACAAGUAUUUGUGUUUUGCCACAAGAGGAAGCCAGUUUGUUUUUUUUAACCCUUUUGAUCCUGUGUUGCCCAGCCUCAUAACAAAUCAGAUUGCAGGAAAUGAUGCUACAUACUUCCUGUUAUCACCUUCUGUAUAAAAUCAUAUAACUGUGAGUACUAUCUAGGGCGCUAAGCGCCACCACCCUACACUCAGGACACAUGCUAAAAUAUAUACUCUAAGCAGGACGUGAUCUUAUAUUUACCUAGGGUCCAAUAACUACUACAUAUCAGCUUACACCCACCAAAUGUGUACCGAAAACCAACUGCUCUUAUCUUUUGAA